rnacentral:rRNA from 1 species
CACGUAGGGCGCAAGCGUUGUCCGGAAUUAUUGGGCGUAAAGAGCUCGUAGGCGGUUUGUCGCGUCUGCUGUGAAAACCUAAGGCUCAACCUUGGGCUUGCAGUGGGUACGGGCAGACUAGAGUGCGGUAGGGGUGACUGGAAUUCCUGGUGUAGCGGUGGAAUGUGCAGAUAUCAGGAGGAACACCGAUGGCGAAGGCAGGUCACUGGGCCGCAACUGACGCUGAGGAGCGAAAGCAUGGGGAGCGAACAGG